rnacentral:rRNA from 1 species
UAGGGAAUAUUAGUAAUGGGCGAAAGCCUGAACUAGCAACACCGCGUGUGCGAAGAAGGCCUUCGGGUUGUAAAGCACUUUUUGAGAGGAUGAGGAAGGACGGUACUCUCAGAAUAAGUCUCAGCUAGCUACGUGCCAGCAGCCGCGGUAACACGUAGGAGGCAAACGUUAUCCGGAUUUACUGGGCGUAAAGCGCGUGUAGGUGGUUUGGUAAGUAGAGCGUGAAAGCUCCUGGCUCAACUGGGAGAGGUCGUUCUAAACUGCCGGACUAGAGGAUGGUAGAGGGAGGUGGAAUUCCGGGUGUAGCGGUGGAAUGCGCAGAUAUCCGGAGGAACACCAGUGGCGAAAGCGGCCUCCUGGACCACUCCUGAUACUCAGACGCGAAAGCUAGGGUAGCAAACG